rnacentral:lncRNA from 1 species
CAGGCUGGUCCCCAAGGCCCGCGGCCGCCGCCAUGUCGGUGCUGGGCGAGAGGGAACCUGUAUGACAAAAUCCUUCGUCAGAAGGACAAGUUGUUUGAGGAAGAGAUGGUGGUGUGGUACCUAUUUCAGAUUGUUUCAGCAGUGAGCUGCAUCCAUAAAGCUGGAAUCCUUCAUAGAGAUAUAAAGACAUUAAAUAUUUUUCUGACCAAGGCAAACCUGAUAAAACUUGGAGAUUAUGGCCUA